UACGUAGGGGGCGAGCGUUGUCCGGAAUCAUUGGGCGUAAAGCGCGUGUAGGCGGCUUGGUAAGUCCGGUGCGAAACCUUGGGGCUCAACCCCAAGCCUGCACUGGAUACUGCCUCGCUUGAGUCCGGGAGGGGAGAGCGGAAUUCCUAGUGUAGCGGUGAAAUGCGCAGAUAUUAGGAAGAACACCGGUGGCGAAGGCGGCUCUCUGGAACGGUACUGACGCUGAGACGCGAAAGCGUGGGGAGCGAACAGG
rnacentral:rRNA from 1 species